GGGCUCGUAGCUCAGCCAGGUCAGAGCGCCUGACUUUUAAUCAGGAGGUCGAGGGUUCAAAUCCCCCCGGGCCCA
rnacentral:tRNA from 1 species